rnacentral:rRNA from 1 species
CCUACGGGAGGCUGCAGUGAGGAAUAUUGGUCAAUGGGCGAGAGCCUGAACCAGCCAAGUCGCGUGAGUGAGUACUGCCCUAUGGGUUGUAAACCUCUUUUGUCGGGGAGCAAAAGCCGGACGUGUCCGGCUGUGAGAGUACCCGAAGAAAAAGCAUCGGCUAACUCCGUGCCAGCAGCCGCGGUAAUACGGAGGAUGCGAGCGUUAUCCGGAUUUAUUGGGUUUAAAGGGUGCGCAGGCGGAUUUUUAAGUCAGCGGUAAAAUCGUGGGGCUCAACCCCAUCCAGCCGUUGAAACUGGGGAUCUAGAGUGUGCGAGAGGUAUGCGGAAUGCGUGGUGUAGCGGUGAAAUGCAUAGAUAUCACGCAGAACCCCGAUUGCGAAGGCAGCAUACCGGUGCACAACUGACGCUCAGGCACGAAAGCGUGGGUAUCGAACAGGAUUAGAUACCCCAGUAGUC